rnacentral:lncRNA from 1 species
CUUUCCUCUCUCCUCUCAGGUCUCUCCCUGUCCCUUUUAUGCUCCCUCUCCCUCUCCCUCCUCCUCUCCCUCUCCCUGUGCCCCCUACGUCGUUCCCUCUCCCUCUCGUUCCCGUUUUCUCUCUCUGGAUCUGCUCCUCCUUUUCCGAUCCCGUUCUUUGCUCCUGUCCCGGCUGUUGCCCCUUUUGUUUCUUUCCCUUUCGUCUUUUUCGCGGCUUCGGGUUCGACGGCGCCGCUCGCGGGAUCGGGAUCGACGACGCUCGCGCUCGCGGGAACGGUCGCGACGGUCGCGGUCACGCUCGCGUUCGCGGUCACUGGUAACGGGACGGGAUGGACAUGGGUCCCAAUGGGGUCCUGGACCAGCCCAGGGGGUACAAAUGGGGUCCUAACCCUAUUCUGGGGGUCCCAAUGGGGUCUCUGGGGGUAUAAAUGGGGUCCCAAUGGGGUCCUGGCCAAGCUCAGGGGUCUCUGGGGGUCCUGACCCCAUCCUGGGGGUCCCAAUGGGGUCUCUGGGGUCCUGACCCCAUUCUGGGGGUACAAAUGGGGUCCCAAUGGGGUCUCUGGGGAUCCUGACCCCAUUCUGGGGGUAUAAAUGGGGUCCCAAUGGGGUCCUGGCCCAGCUCAGGGGGUACAAAUGGGGUCCCAAUGGGGUCUCUGGGGGUCCUGACCCCAUUCUGGGGGUCCCAAAGGGGUCCUGACCCCAUUCUGGGGGUCCUAAUGGGGUCCCAAUGGGGUCCCAAUGGGGUCCUGGACCAGCUCAGGGGUCCCAAUGGGGUCCUAUCCCUAUUCUGGGGGUCCUAAAGAGGUCUCCGGGGGUCCUGACCCCAUUCUGGGGGUACAAAUGGGGUCCCAAUGGGGUCUCUGGGGUCCUGACCCCAUCCUGAGAGUCCACACCCCAUCCUGAGGGUACAAACGGGGUCCAAAAGGGGUCCUGACCCAGCCCAGGGGUCCUAAUGGGGUCCUGACCCUAUCCUGGGGGUCCUAAAGGGGUCUCUGGGGGUCCUGACCCCAUUGUGGGGGUACAAAUGGGGUCCCAAUGGGGUCUUGACCCCAUUCUGGGGGUACAAAUGGGGUCCCAAUGGGGUCCCAAUGGGGUCCUGACCCAGCCCAGGGGUCCCAAUGGGGUCUUGACCCCAUCCUGGGGGUACAAAUGGGGUCCCAAAGGGGUCUCUGGGGUCCUGACCCCAUUCUGGGGGUAUAAAUGGGGUCCCAAUGGGGUCUCUGGGGGUCCUGACCCCACUCUGGGGGUACAAAUGGGGUCCCAAUGGGGUCUCUGGGGGUUCUGACCCCAUUCUGGGGGUACAAAUGGGGUCCCAAUGGG